UGCCAUGUGGAAGGAGGCCUCGUGG
rnacentral:piRNA from 1 species